rnacentral:rRNA from 1 species
GAAAGCUGGAAUGAAGGGUCGGAUGAGAAAGUUUCUGUCUCACUUUAAUUUUGUUUGAAUUUUAUUUUUAAGUCAAAAAGCUUAGAUUUUAUAAAAAGACGAGAAGACCCUAUAGAGUUUAAUAGGUUUAGAUUUUUAUUAUUUUAGGGUUUUAUAUUGAUUGAUUUUUAACUUAUUUUGUUGGGGUGAUGUAAGAAUUGAGUUAACUUCUUUUUAUAAGAACAUUGAUUAAUGAAUAAUGGAUCCUUGAAUUUGGAUUGAAAGAAUAAAUUACCUUAGGGAUAACAGCGUAAUUCUUUUGGAGAGUUCUAAUCGAUAAAAGGGAUUGCGACCUCGAUGUUGGAUUAAAGUUUAAUUUUGGUGUAGAAGCUAUAAUUUUG